AUACGGAGGAUCCGAGCGUUAUCCGGAUUUAUUGGGUUUAAAGGGUGCGCAGGCGGGAGAUUAAGUCGGCGGUGAAAUUUUGCAGCUCAACUGUAAAAGUGCCUUCGAUACUGGUUUCCUUGAGUGUGGAUGAAGUAGGCGGAAUUUGUGGUGUAGCGGAGAAAUGCUUAGAUAUCACGAGGAACUCCGAUUGCGCAGGCAGCUUACUAAACCACUACUGACGCUCAGGCACGAAGGCGUGGGGAUCAAACAGGAUUAGAUACCCUGGUAGUCCACGCAGUAAACGAUGAUUACUGGCUGUUUGCGAUACAAUGUAAGCGGCUGAGCGAAAGCGUUAAGUAAUCCACCUGGGGAGUACGUUCGCAAGAAUGAAACUCAAAUGAAUUGACGGGG
rnacentral:rRNA from 1 species